rnacentral:rRNA from 1 species
UGUGGAAGUUUCUAAGGGCGCAUGGUGGAUGCCUUGGCAACAGGAGCCGAAGAAGGACGUGGGAAUCUGCGAUAAGCCUGGUGGAGUCGAUAACCGGACGUUGAGACCAGGAUUUCCGAAUGGGGAAACCCCGCACGACGUGUCGUGUGACCACCGGUUGAACACAUAGACCGGUUGGAGGGAACGUGGGGAAGUGAAACAUCUCAGUACCCACAGGAAGAGAAAACAAAAAGUGAUUCCGUUAGUAGUGGCGAGCGAACGCGGAUGGGGCUAAACCGUAUGUGUGUGAUACCCGGCAGGGGCUGUGCAUGUGCGGUGUUGUGGGCCCCUCCUUGUCAUGUCUGCCGGCAUGGCGCAGUGAGGUGCGGGCAUAUAGACGAACCAGUGUGGAUGCUGGACCGUAGAGGGUGAGAGUCCCGUAGUCGAAAUGUGUUCCGCCGCUGUUGGAGGGUCGCCCGAGUAGCACGGGGCCCGAGGAAUCCCGUGUGAAUCUGCCAGGACCACCUGGUAAGCCUGAAUACUACCUGUUGACCGAUAGCGGAUCAGUACCGUGAGGGAAUGGUGAAAAGUACCCCGGGAGGGGAGUGAAAUAGUACCUGAAACCAUGUGCCUACAAACCGUUGGAGCCUCCUUGUUGGGGUGACAGCGUGCCUUUUGAAGAAUGAGCCUGCGAGUUAGUGAUACGUGGCGAGGUUAACCCGUGUGGGGAAGCCGUAGCGAAAGCGAGUCUGAAUAGGGCGAUUGAGUCGCGUGUCCUAGACCCGAAGCGGAGUGAUCUACCCAUGGCCAGGUUGAAGCGCGUGUAAGAGCGCGUGGAGGACCGAACCCACUUCAGUUGAAAAUGGAGGGGAUGAGCUGUGGGUAGGGGUGAAAGGCCAAUCAAACUCCGUGAUAGCUGGUUCUCCCCGAAAUGCAUUUAGGUGCAGCGUCACGUGUUUCUUCCCGGAGGUAGAGCUACUGGAUGGACGAUGGGCCCUACAAGGUUACUGACUUCAGCCAAACUCCGAAUGCCGGGAAGUGAGAGCGUGGCAGUGAGACUGUGGGGGAUAAGCUUCAUAGUCGAGAGGGAAACAGCCCAGACCACCGGUUAAGGCCCCUAAGCGUGUGCUAAGUGGGAAAGGAUGUGGAGUUGCUGAGACAACCAGGAGGUUGGCUUAGAAGCAGCCACCCUUGAAAGAGUGCGUAAUAGCUCACUGGUCAAGUGAUUCCGCGCCGACAAUGUAGCGGGGCUCAAGUACACCGCCGAAACCGUGGCAUUCAGUUUUGCUGGAUGGGUAGGGGAGCGUCGUUCACGAGGUGAAGCCAGCGGGUAACUUCUGGUGGAUUGUGAACGAGUGAGAAUGCAGGCAUGAGUAGCGAAAGACGGGUGAGAAACCCGUCCGCCGGAUGACUAAGGGUUCCAGGGUCAAGCUAAUCUGCCCUGGGUAAGUCGGGACCUAAGGCGAGGCCGACAGGCGUAGUCGAUGGACAACGGGUUGAUAUUCCCGUACCAGUGAAGAACCGUCCCUGCUGAGCCGGUGAUACUAACCGCCCGAACCAUCCCGAACCCCGUCUUUGACGGGGUCGGUGGUGGGGAGCGCGGGACCUGAACCGGGGAGGCAAGCGCAUUAACAGGUGUGACGCAGGAAGGUAGCCGGGCCAGGCAAUGGAAUCGACCUGGUCUAAGGGUGUAGGGCUGCCGGUAGGUAAAUCCGCCGGCUAUGUGCUUGAGACCUGAUGGGCGCCCACGUGGUGGGUGAUCCGGUGAUCCUAUGCUGCCAAGAAAAGCAUCGGCGCGAGGUUCAAACUGCCCGUACCCUAAACCGACACAGGUGGUCAGGUAGAGAAUACUAAGGCGAUCGAGAGAAUCAUGGUUAAGGAACUCGGCAAAAUGCCCCCGUAACUUCGGGAGAAGGGGGGCCCCAACCUUGAGCACUACUUGCUGGUGUGAGGGGAUCGGGGCCGCAGAGACCAGGGGGAAGCGACUGUUUAUCAAAAACACAGGUCCAUGCGAAGUCGUAAGACGAUGUAUAUGGACUGACUCCUGCCCGGUGCUGGAAGGUUAAGAGGACCCGUUAGCUUCGGCGAAGCGGAGAAUUUAAGCCCCAGUAAACGGCGGUGGUAACUAUAACCAUCCUAAGGUAGCGAAAUUCCUUGUCGGGUAAGUUCCGACCUGCACGAAUGGAGUAACGACUUCCCCGCUGUCUCAACCGUGAACUCGGCGAAAUUGCAUUACGAGUAAAGAUGCUCGUUACGCGCAGAAGGACGGAAAGACCCCGUGACCUUUACUAUAGUUUGGUAUUGGUGUUCGGUGUGGCUUGUGUAGGAUAGGUGGGAGACUGUGAAGCGGGCACGCCAGUGUUCGUGGAGUCAUCGUUGAAAUACCACUCUGGUCACUCUGGAUAUCUAACUUCGGCCCGUGAUCCGGGUCAGGGACAGUGCCUGAUGGGUAGUUUAACUGGGGCGGUUGCCUCCCAAAAUGUAACGGAGGCGCCCAAAGGUCCCCUCAGCCUGGUUGGCAAUCAGGUGUCGAGUGCAAGUGCACAAGGGGGGCUUGACUGUGAGAGUGGCAGCUCGAGCAGGGACGAAAGUCGGGACUAGUGAUCCGGCGGCUCGUUGUGGAACGGCCGUCGCUCAACGGAUAAAAGGUACCUCGGGGAUAACAGGCUGAUCUUGCCCAAGAGUCCAUAUCGACGGCAUGGUUUGGCACCUCGAUGUCGGCUCGUCGCAUCCUGGGGCUGGAGUAGGUCCCAAGGGUUGGGCUGUUCGCCCAUUAAAGCGGUACGCGAGCUGGGUUCAGAACGUCGUGAGACAGUUCGGUCCCCUAUCCUCUGCGCGCGUUGGAAAUUUGAGAAGGUCUGUCCUUAGUACGAGAGGACCGGGACGGACGAACCUCUGGUAUGUCAGUUGUACCGCCAGGUGCAUGGCUGAUUAGCUACGUUCGGGAUGGAUAACCGCUGAAAGCAUCUAAGCGGGAAGCCGGCUUCGAGAUGAGAUUUCCUUGCCCCUUUGAGGGUGUGAGGCCCCCAGCUAGAACACUGGGUUGAUAGGCUGGAUGUGGAAGCGAGGACUGAAGACUCGUGAAGCUGACCAGUACUAAUAGGCCGAUGACUUACACACA